AACGAACGCUGGCGGCAUGCCUAACACAUGCAGGUCGAACGAGCCCAUCGGGAGUAUGCGCGCAUGGUUGCGUAACGCGUGGGAACCUGCCCUCAGGUUUGGACUAACUCCCCGACAGGGGUGAUAAUACGGGACAAUGUCUUCUGACCAAUGAUUUAUUGCCUUUGGUUGGGCCCGCGUGGGAUUAGCUAGUUGGUAGGGUAAUAGCUUACCACGGCGACGAUCCAUAGCUGGUCUGUGAGGAGGGUCAGCCACACUGGGGCGAAGACGCGGCCCAGACUCGUACGCGAGGCAGCAAUGGGGGAUGGUGAACAGUGGGCGGAGGCAUGAGCCAGCAAGGCCCCGAGAGUGAUGAAAGCCGUAGAGUUGAAAAGCUCUUUUAACCGGGAUGAUAUUGACAGUACCGGGAGAAUAAGCCACGGCUAACUACGUG
rnacentral:rRNA from 1 species